AAAAAAAAAUUGGAAAAAUGCCAAAACGGUCAGAUUUUGAAAUUUGAAGUUUAAUUUUUUUUAUUCGGCCCGUGCAUAGAACGCGCCCGCAACAAAACCGAUUUUCCCCUACCCGUUCUAUCAUGGGCCUCUCUAGUAGGGAGGGGCUGCAUCGCAUUACUCGAUGCCUCCUCUACUCGAGUAAGAGGCAUCGCGUAAUGCGAUGUGGAUGC
rnacentral:lncRNA from 1 species